rnacentral:lncRNA from 1 species
UUGUCUUUUAUCAUGUCCAUCUUUGCACAAAAUUUUCCUCUAAUAUCUCCAAUUUUCCUGAACAGAUCUCUGGUGUUUCCUUUUCUGUUAUUUUCCUCUAUUUCUUUGCAUUGUUCAUUUAAGAAGGCCCUCUUGUCUCUCCUUGCUAUUUUUUGGAAGUUUGCAUUCAAUUUUCUGUAACUUUCCCUAUCUCCCCUGCAUUUUGUUUCUCUUCUCUUUUCUGCUAUUUGUAAGGCCUCGUUGGACAGCCACUUUGCUUUCUUGCAUUUCCUUUUCUUUGGGAUGGUUUUUGUUGCUGCCUCCUGUACAAUGUUACAAGCCUCUAUCCAAAGUUCUUCAGGCACUCUGUCCACCAAAUCUAGUUCCUUAAAUCUGUUCCAAAGAAGCUUAUCUUGCUUAACUUGUAUGCAGUGUAUCAAUUACACCAUGCAGCCAAAUUUAACUUCAUUUUCUACUUUCAAGUAAGCACACAGGAAUCCAAUCAAGACUGGAACUACUGCAAAGGAUCUUCUCACUGCUACACUAUAGGAACAAGGAACGUCUAAUCUUCCAGAUGUUUUGCACUACAGUUCCCACAAUGCCUUAGCCUUGUCCAUGCUUCCAGGAGUUCAAAAUUCAAAGGGCAUUGAAAUGUGCAUUACACCCACAGGAAGGAUCCCAAGAACAACAAAUAGGAAUGUGGUAGCUGGGAAAGACUUGGACAGGGCAACCCUGCAAAAAGAUGAUUGCCACCUAACAGUCUUCAAAAUAGAUGACAAGCUAAAAGACCCUUGGCCAUUCUUAAAACAGAGAAGAGAAGAGAUGUCAGACUGCUGGCUGCCAAAGAAGACAUUUUGAUGGGAACAUGAUAUAUUUUCAAAUCCUUUGUGUGUUGUGAGAGGGGUUAAUUAUUUUACUGACUGUUGUAAUUACAUUUAAUUUCCUUUUAAUAUUCAAAUAAAUUACAUUUAAUUGCUUUUUAAUAUCCA